AAAGUACUCCCUCCGUCCCAAAAUUCGUGUCUUAGAUUUGUCUAGAUACGGAUGUAUCAAGUCACAUUUUAGUAUUAGAUACAUCCGUAUCUAGACAAAUCUAAGACAAGAAAUUUGGGACAGAGGGACUAGUUG
rnacentral:pre_miRNA from 1 species